UACGUAGGGUGCAAGCGUUGUCCGGAAUUAUUGGGCGUAAAGAGCGUGUAGGCGGCCAGGUAGGUGGGUUGUGAAAACUGGAGGCUCAACCUUCAGACGUCGACCCAAACCCCCUGGCUAGAGUCCGGAAGAGGAGAGUGGAAUUCCUGGUGUAGCGGUGAAAUGCGCAGAUAUCAGGAAGAACACCCGUGGCGAAGGCGGCUCACUGGCCCGGUACUGACGCUGAGGUGCGAAAGCGUGGGGAGCAAACAGG
rnacentral:rRNA from 1 species